rnacentral:lncRNA from 1 species
GUCAAGGGCUUGUUGUUUGACUGGGGCUCAAUACAUGCAAUAAACAACUUCUUCAAUUUAUUAUCUCCUUGGCCUGAGGCUUUGAUCCUGGAAGAGGGAGCACCUUUUGCCCACAAAUGCUGAUGGAUCCAGCCCUAGUUUCAGCAACAAGGGUGGCAGGAGCCUCACAUUUUAGGCUUUGAAAAUCUGUGAAAUCAGCUGCAGGUCCUGUAAAGCCUUUGUGUUGCAGAACUACUGGAAUAUACUUCAGAGCUUCGGAUUGUGGCCAAGUUAAAGACAGAAGCAAGGAAAAAAAAGCACAGUUAAGUCAGCUUCUCAUUUGGUGCCUCCCGGUUCACGUCUCAACGCUAGACAGUGUUGACUCCGCAGCUCAGAUAAAUCUGGAGUUGGAGGGGUCCUCACAGAUUAUGCAGUCCUUCUGUCUAAACUGAGGAAACAGAGACACCCCCCAAAUCCCCUGGAUGGUAAGUGACAGGGAAUCAGUAAUGAUGGAGGUGGGAACCCCAGCUAAACCUCCAGGAUGAGCACAAUCUGAUGGCUCUUCUCACAGACACCUUUCUAGGGCCGGUCAUUAGCGGCUGGGCUCUCAGAUUGCUCCCUUAUGUAUAAGCGACUAGAUAAUCCUUCCAGCUUUUUGCUUCUCUAAUUGGAGUUUACGUUGACCUCAAUUAAGCCAUCAGCCUAGCUUUCAUGUGCAGGGCAAGGCUUAUGGUAUGAGGUGUCUCUCCACCCUUUGUAAGGAGAUGCAGCUGGUGAUUGGUGACUUCGCGGAGUGCUA